rnacentral:lncRNA from 1 species
AUGGACUCCAGGAUGUCCGUGAUGUUUUUAUCCGCCGAGCUAGCUCCAGGUGACUCAGGUGCGUCUGACGGACGGGAACGCUUGUUUGGAGCCGUGUCCUUUUUCCCCAUUACCAGACGCUCGAAGCACUCGUCGAUGUACUCAAAACUUUCUUCGGUGUUAUCCAGAAAGGUAGGGUGGUUGAUUAUUUUCCGUAAAAGUUAUUUAUUUAUUUAUUUAAAUUGGCGGAUAGUUUGUCGCGUUGUUGUUUACUACCGGUGUUGCGCCGCCUUGUUGAAUUUCUCGUGCUGUUCUCGCAGAGUCUCGCGUUCUCUCACAGCAUCGCGUUCUCUCCCUCACACAGCCACCUAUUUUUUAAUAGUGGGACAAAAUCUGUCUAUGUUUACGCAAUACACAAUGAAUGCUUCCAUGCUGAAUGUAUUGCUGAAUAAUUGCUGAAAAUAGCUGAAACAUUUAAAACAUAUCUGGAAGUAGCUUAAGCACAUAAAGUAUAGAUAAAUGUAUCUCAACAAAACUGAGUGUUAAAUAUUUUUGUAGUAAAUUUACAGCUGCCAGAUUGAAAUUGACAAACUCAAACCACCACUACAUUAACGUUUAAACAGAUACAUCUCAAAUUUAUUACAAGUGGUGACAUAAUAUUAUGAGCAAGGAAGAAAGGACAGAGCAGCGGUGAGAAGUCGCCUGGUCUCCUUGAAACCGAGAGGCAAAGAAAGCUCCUCUUUAACUCAUCAUACUGCAUUACAUUAAAUAGACAUGAACUUAACUUCAACAUUAAGAUGACAAAGCAAAGUUAAAGAUUCUGUAGUAAAUAGAACUCCUAAGCUCUUCCUUCAGCUCCUACAGGUGAUCCUCACAUGCUGCCUGUAAAGAAGUACAUUCAGUAACACAUCUCACAGCUUUUCUUUCACAUAAGCGUCCUCUUUAUCACUACAGAUUCUUCGCAGACUCUACACCGACCAAAGUCAAUCAUAAAGGUCUGUGCUCCCACAUCAUCACUGCAUCUGCAAUUCAGGUGAUCCAUCCAUCCAUUUUCCAAGCCGCUUAUUCCCUAAUACGGGGGUGCUGGGGCCUAACCCAGCUGGCUAUAGUCCAUCGCAGGGGAACACAGAGACAGACAACCAUGCACACACACACCCAAACCUACGGGCAAUGGAGAGAGUCCAAUCAACCUAAUGCACGUCUUUGGACCGUGGGAGGAAGCCGUAGAACCCGGAGAGAACCCCCGCAAACACGGGGAGAACGUGCAAACUCCACACAGAAAGGCAUCAGGGCCUCCUCCGGGAAUAGAACCCAGAACCUUCUUGUUGUGAGGCAACAGUGCCACCCUCAUGUACUCAUGUACGUGCAAAUUCAUACAUCAAUGUAUAUCAUUGUUGCAGCUAAGGGUGGCGCUCCGCCCACAUCCUAUAGCCGUGUUGGUCAGUGCAGCCCCACAAUA